AACGAACGCUGGCGGCGUGCCUAACACAUGCAAGUCGCACGAGAAAAGGGUAGCAAUACUCUGAGUAAAGUGGCGCACGGGUGAGUAACACGUAGGUAACCUACCUCUAAGACCGGGAUAACUUGUCGAAAGACGGGCUAAUACCAGAUAAGACCACAGUCCUUGCGGGGACCGGGGUCAAAGGUGGCCUCUACACGUAAGCUAUCACUUAGAGAUGGGCCUGCGCACCAUUAGCAGUUGGUGGGGUAACGGCCCACCAAGGCAAAGAUGGUUAGCUGGUCUGAGAGGAUGAUCAGCCACACUGGGACUGAGACACGGCCCAGACUCCUACGGGAGCAGCAGUGGGGAAUCUUGCGCAAUGGGCGAAAGCCUGACGCAGCAACGCCGCGUGGG
rnacentral:rRNA from 1 species